rnacentral:tRNA from 1 species
UCCCUGGUGGUCUAGUGGCUAGGAUUUGGUGCUUUCACCGCCAUGGCCUGGGUUUGAUUCCCGGCUGGGAGA